ensembl:lncRNA
GAGAGGCUGGUAGGAGGAGGCUGGUAGGAGGAGGCUGGGAGGAGGAGAGGCUGGGAGGAGGAGAGGCUGGGAGGAGGAGAAGCUGGGAGGAGGAGAGGCUGGGAGGAGGAGAGGCUGGGAGGAGGAGAGGCUGUUAGGUGGAGAGGCUGGUCGGAAGAGAGGCUGAACGCUCGUCUGUUAGUUUUCUGCUGCGGGCGCGGAGCAGCGGGCAUCACAUCAUAAACAGGGAAGAACCGGACAGACCGCUGCAGCCCUCGGGCAGGAAGAGACACACAUUAAUGUAUAUAUCUCUAGAUAUGGAUAUAUAUAGAUAUGGGUGUGUGUUUUAAUAGAGGAGAGGGUGCAUCUUAAAUGAAUUUGGACAUUGUGGUGGAAGUUGUUUAACUAUUGAAAUGUGUUUUGAAAAUCUUUGUCUUUUUCCAAAUGUGACACAAUUUGAAAUGCAAUCUUUUUGCGCUCUGUGGUGUGUAUUAUUUAAUUAAUACGUGUCCCUCAGAGUGGUGGAUUCUCAGUAAGAAUCAACCAUUUAACUAUCUGGAUCUUAACAUCACGCAUCUUUAAGGAGGCACAAUGAACUCCAAACCUUUAAUGAGAAGUUAACAACUGGAAUUGUAAAAGUCAAUACUUAUAUAAAGGCCGCAAGAGAGAAUACUGCCUGUAACUUGGUUUGGUUCUCGGUUUAGGAUGAACAAAGUGAGGGUUGGUGUUUUGAAUGUCUGUUUGGAAUAAAGAUCUUACUUUAAGGA